AAUUGUCAGCAGGCAGUUAUCUAAGGAUGCAGGAGAGGAGGGGGCUUCUUUUUGACACCUACUUCAUCAGGUGCUCCUCAGAUCAGAGCCUUGCAGGUCAGGCC
ensembl:miRNA